AGAGUUUGAUCCUGGCUCAGGACGAACGCUGGCGGCGCGCCUAACACAUGCAAGUCGAACGAGCGAGAGAGAGCUUGCUUUCUCGAGCGAGUGGCGAACGGGUGAGUAACGCGUGAGGAACCUGCCUCAAAGAGGGGGACAACAGUUGGAAACGACUGCUAAUACCGCAUAAGCCCACGGCUCGGCAUCGAGCAGAGGGAAAAGGAGUGAUCCGCUUUGAGAUGGCCUCGCGUCCGAUUAGCUAGUUGGUGAGGUAAUGGCCCACCAAGGCGACGAUCGGUAGCCGGACUGAGAGGUUGAACGGCCACAUUGGGACUGAGACACGGCCCAGACUCCUACGGGAGGCAGCAGUGGGGAAUAUUGCACAAUGGGGGAAACCCUGAUGCAGCGACGCCGCGUGGAGGAAGAAGGUCUUCGGAUUGUAAACUCCUGUUGUUGAGGAAGAUAAUGACGGUACUCAACAAGGAAGUGACGGCUAACUACGUGCCAGCAGCCGCGGUAAAACGUAGGUCACAAGCGUUGUCCGGAAUUACUGGGUGUAAAGGGAGCGCAGGCGGGAAGACAAGUUGGAAGUGAAAUCCAUGGGCUCAACCCAUGAACUGCUUUCAAAACUGUUUUUCUUGAGUAGUGCAGAGGUAGGCGGAAUUCCCGGUGUAGCGGUGGAAUGCGUAGAUAUCGGGAGGAACACCAGUGGCGAAGGCGGCCUACUGGGCACCAACUGACGCUGAGGCUCGAAAGUGUGGGUAGCAAACAGGAUUAGAUACCCUGGUAGUCCACACUGUAAACGAUGAUUACUAGGUGUUGGAGGAUUGACCCCUUCAGUGCCGCAGUUAACACAAUAAGUAAUCCACCUGGGGAGUACGACCGCAAGGUUGAAACUCAAAGGAAUUGACGGGGGCCCGCACAAGCAGUGGAGUAUGUGGUUUAAUUCGACGCAACGCGAAGAACCUUACCAAGUCUUGACAUCCUGCGACGCACAUAGAAAUAUGUGUUUCCUUCGGGACGCAGAGACAGGUGGUGCAUGGUUGUCGUCAGCUCGUGUCGUGAGAUGUUGGGUUAAGU
rnacentral:rRNA from 1 species